rnacentral:rRNA from 1 species
UACGUAGGGUGCAGGCGUUAAUCGGAAUUACUGGGCGUAAAGCGUGCGCAGGCGGUUUGCUAAGACAGGUGUGAAAUCCCCGGGCUUAACCUGGGAACUGCGCUUGUAACUGGCAAGCUUGAGUGUGGCAGAGGGGGGUGGAAUCCCACGUGUAGCAGUGAAAUGCGUAGAGAUGUGGAGGAACACCGAUGGCGAAGGCAGCCCCCUGGGCUAACACUGACGCUCAUGCACGAAAGCGUGGGGAGCAAACAGG